UACCGAGGUGGCAAGCGUUGUUCGGAAUUACUGGGCGUAAAGGGCGCGUAGGCGGUCUUGCAAGUCCUGUGUGAAAUCCCUCGGCUCAACUGAGGAACUGCACAGGAAACUGCUUGGCUUGAGUUCGGGAGAGGGAAGCGGAAUUCCGGGUGUAGCGGUGAAAUGCGCAGAUAUCGGGAAGAACACCGAUGGCGAAGGCAGGUCUCUGGGCCACUACUGACGCUGAGAAGCGAAAGCAUGGGGAGCGAACAGG
rnacentral:rRNA from 1 species